rnacentral:rRNA from 1 species
UACGUAGGUGACAAGCGUUGUCCGGAUUUACUGGGCGUAAAGAGCGCGCAGGCGGUCGAUCAAGUCGAAGUGUGAAAGCCCCCGGCUCAACUGGGGAGGGUCAUUCGAUACUGAUCGACUCGAAGGCAGGAGAGGGAAGUGGAAUUCCCGGUGUAGUGGUGAAAUGCGUAGAUAUCGGGAGGAACACCAGUGGCGAAGGCGACUUCCUGGCCUGUUCUUGACGCUGAGGCGCGAAAGCUAGGGUAGCAAACGGG